rnacentral:lncRNA from 1 species
GAAUUUUUUAUCAAUAUUAUAUUUGAAUUAUCAAAGUAACUAACUAAUUUUAAUACUGUUUAUUAGUACAUUAUUUUUUUUGGUAACAUUUAGUUAUUGAUUUAAAUAAUAAUUCGUGACACCAAUUCAUAAAUUAUUAAUAUAUUAUGACUUUUUAAAUUUGAGAAUUAAAAUUAUUCAAAAAUAAACUAUUGUAAUAGCCCUUUUGCCCGGGCUUUUAAAAUAAUAAAAACAAACAAAAAUAACCCAAGCCCGCACAAAACAGGACAUGGCCCAAUACAGCAAAACUACUAGCCUAUGCCCAAUUACCCAAACCCCAAAACACCGAAACCCUAGAUGCAUUCGCCUCAGCGCCGCAACAGCCCCUACGACGCGCUCCAGCAGAUCUGAUCGGCGCACGUUGCGGAACCACCCCUUUUCCUCGCGUCUUACACUCCACGAACUCCUGCAAUCGCGGACUCAAAGAAUCCAGAGGAGAAAAACAAGCAAAAAAUAAUGUCAUCGAUUUAUUUUCUUUUUUUUUUCUUCAGCCUAUAAAAGGCCAUUUAAUAUGUAAAAGAAAGGGGGGAUACUGAAAAAAAGGAGUGUAAAAGACACGAAAAGAAAGAGAUACGAAUAGAAAAGAGAAAACAAAGGUGAAUCGGGGGUUCUUCUCUGCUAUCUGUUUUAUUUCAUUUUUUUGCUUUUAUACAAAUAUAAAUCAAAAGAGAAAAAAGGGGUUUUUUUUUACCUUUGAAGCUUCCCCGUUGAAACCUACACUCGCAUCGCUCCAAAUCGGGAGCCUGGCGAAGGGCUGAGACCCGAAGCGCCUUCGAACGCCGGAGGUUGGUUCGUUUGAGAACGGCGGCAGUGGGGGCUGGGAUUAAAAACCCUAGCAGAAAACAUUUUUUCCUCUGAUGCAAACCUUCUGUUUCUUUAAAAGAAAAUUUUUUAAAUAAGGUUGGCGAAACGGCGCCGUUUAGGUAGCCAUAACCCGCGUGUUCUGGCCUUAAAGGGUAAAUUGCGCAGCUAGCCCUCCCCCUUUUGCGACGCGUUUUAAUCAAGUUUUUUUCCCCUUGAAAUUUGGCCCAAACAUUUUGCCCGUGUGACGAUUUAGUCCAAUUCUGCGUAGCGUUUAGGAAGGGUGGGACUAAUUCCCCUUUUGGCCCUUCAGAUUAUGCGCAUUUUGCAAAUACGUCCUUUAUCCUUUGCCUUUGUUUUUCUAAUCAAGUUUACUAUUUACUAUUAUUAUUAUUAUUAUUAUUAUUAUUAUUAUUAUUAUUAUUAUUAUACCUAUACAUACGCAUGCAUAUGUACUUUAUAAUGGGUACUUUAUAUAUUAAAUGUUUUUUAAAUGUGCAUAUAUAUUUUAUAUAUUUCGUUAUUAUUUUAUUCUCAUGGUUUUAUAUACAUAUACAUAUACAUUUAUAUUUUAUAAUGUUUAUAUUUCUAGGUUUUAUAAUUCAUGCAUAUAUAUACAUUUUUUAAAUAUUUUUUUUUGCUGUUCUAUAUAUAUUCCAUUAUUUUAUACAUAUUGUACAUAUAUAAGCAUUUUAACAUACAUAUAUGCAUUUUCAUGAUUUACCACUACAUACACUUAUAUAUUUUCUUAUUUUUUAAUUAUAUACACAAAUACAUAUUUUUUAUAUUUUAUUUUACUUUUAGAAUUUUCAUAUGUACAUAUACAUGUCUAUUUGUAAAAUAAACAUACAUAUUUUUUAGGAGUUAUUAUAAGUUUUUCUGCAUAUUUCAUUUUUUAUAUAUAUACCUAUAUGUAUGUGUUUUAAUAUGCGGACACACAUUUACAAAUCUACUUGUAUAUUGUACCUGUAUAUAUAUAUUUGUAAAUAUUUAUUCAUAUAUGUUUUAAAUUAAAUUUUUUGUUUCGUAUUAUACAUUAACUUUUAACAUACCUUUUGGGAAAUAUGUUUUUGUUUUGUCAAAGCACUUAAAUCAUCAUAUUUUAUAAAUUCCAAAAUAUUUGGCAUUCAUGAUUCUCGUGAAAGAUCGUGUCCUAACUUACUGGAUCGCAAUUAUUUUUUCGAUGAAUUUAGAAAGCCAAGUAUUUGUUUUGCAACAAAUUCACAAAUUUCAAAUAAAAACUUAUUCUCGGGAAUUCAAAAAUGUUGGGUCCUAACUUACUGGUCAUGACAUUUUUUUUCUCGGGAUAAGAAUUUUCAAAAGCAAAAGGCAAUAUUCGGGUAUUUUGGAGAUUUAAAAACAUUGUGCCCUAACUCACUGGGUGUGGUGUUUUAUUUCUUUGAAAUAUGAAUGUCUUAUUAUUUUAAUCCAUUCAUGAAAUAAAAAGUUUCCUUUUAAAAUCUUUUCAAAUUUUCGACACCAAGGCAUUAAAAAAAUCAAUUUGGUAUCAAUUUUGGGCGUUACGAGGGUGCUAAUCCUUCCUCGUGCGUAACUGACUCCCGAGCCUGUUUUCUCAAACUUCGCAGACCAAAGUUAUUUUUAAGGUGGGCCGAUCACACCUUAAUAAAGGAUCGGUGGCGACUCCAGUUUUUAUUUUUAAGUCGACACUAAAAAUUUUUGUUUUAAAAAAAACGGUUUCGACAGCUUGGCGACUCCGCUGGGGACGUAGAGAGUCGAGGCAUAAACUGAUUAUAUUUGUCUUUGUGUCGAAAAUCAAAAGUGUUUUAAAAAAAAUUCAUGAGUUCCCUUCGUAUUUAUUGAGUUUUGGUAUGUUGGCAACUCUGCAUUUGCAUUUUGCAUUUUACCCUUUAAGUGGGAGCGAGAAAUAGUCCUUCGUGAGGUUUUCACCUCCGUGCAGGGUAGUAGAUCGCUUCCGGGAUAUAUCCGUACCUAUGUCUUCGUGAGAUUUUCAUCUGCGUGCAGCCAUAGGGAAAUGUAUCCCCCUGAAUUGAACUCGAUCUAUAUGAGCCUAUAAUGGGUGAGGAUCGAGGAAUCUGUUGGUUCGGGUACCCUUACUCUAGAAACUAAACCUCAUAUAGUGAGCUUUAGGAACUUGCCCUAGGUAGAGCUACUCUAAAACCCUAGUAGAUUCCCGAAUAAGUGUUAUGUUAUAUUGGAUUAUAUCUUUAUAUGUGAUACUGACUUGGUUUUAUUUUGUUUUGAUUGCAUGACAUCAUGAUUGCAUGACAUUUCAUAAAAAGAGGUGUUGAUUCACGUUCGGUUGUUAAAUAGAGAGCUUGUCAUAAGGAAAUGAGUUUCUUGAUAAAGUGGAAAAUAAUACGGUUGCCCGAAUAUGUUCCGAGAAAACACAACAGGAGAAAGAUAGUAGUUUAAUGGAGGACUACACAAUUAUUACUCCGUUGCCCGAAGACUCAAGCUGACGAAGAUUAUUCGAGAGCCGCUGAACUUUUUUUAAAAAAGGGAAGCCAACGAGCAUCGCGACGAUAAAGGAGCAACGAGUCACAGCCCAGGAGAUAGAAGAGACAUCCCCUUUGAAGAGUUCGUGAGAUUUAUCUUAAUACUUGAAUGAAGAGGAGGAUCGAAUGACUCCGUCUAUAAGGGCAAAAUCGUAUAUAUAUCUGCUUUAUGUAAAGAGAUUUGUUUUCUAGUAAAGUUGUUCUAAUAGAAUUGAACCAAGAAUCGUCUCUUUUUGCAUUCACUUCAUGCAUUUGCAUUACACAACAUUACAUGCAUUAAACACCUCUAAAUGAUCCUAAUUAGUUAAAAUCAUUGCUCAGUUAACCUGGAAACCAACCAACCAAUCCAACACCGAUACGACACUCGGGCAAAGACGAAAGAUAUGUAUCAGAGAUUAGAAAAACUCGAGCAAUGUCAAAAGGAGAUACAGGACCGACUUCAGCUACAGAUGCAGGAGCGGUUAGACAAGAUGAAGCAAGAAAUGACUGAGAAGAUGCGGGAAUCCUAAGAAGAUAUAGUGGCAAAACUAACCCGCCUGAUAGCUAAAGGACUCGAUAAAGGAAAGGGCCACAUGGCAAAUGUCGAUGAGGGAGAUGAUGAUGAACUUUCCUAUCCUCCAGGUUUCACCCCGCCACAUGUGCGAACUCAGGCCGAGUACCCACGCAAAUCUACUGUUACCAUCAUGCCGCAGCAGUCUCGGGAUGGUGUUUCGAGCUUCCAAGCUGGACCGGGAUCUAAUCCUGAAAAUAACCCUAUUAACUCUGCCAUUCCUGAUUUCGAUGAAGUGGUUGAGAAGGAAAAGGAGCUACCGAAACAAUUAGAAGAAAGAUGCAAGUGGCUCGAAGAGAAGUUCAAGGCGAUGGAGGUCACUGAGAGUUAUCGAGGCAUUGACGCGAAAGAGCUGAGUUUAGUUCCGAAUUUAGUACUCCCUCAUAAGUUUAAGAUGCCUGAGUUCGAAAAGUACAAUGGGACAAGUUGCUCAGAGGCUCAUAUCACCAUGUUCUGCAGACGAAUGGCGGGAUAUGUUAAUAGUGACCAGCUCUUGAUACAUUGUUUCCAGGAUAGCCUUGCAGGGGCAGCAUCUAAGUGGUACAAUCAACUGAGUCGUACCACGAUUGGUUCGUGGAGGGAUUUGGCCCAAGCAUUCAUGAAACAAUAUAGUCAUGUGACAGACAUGGCUCCUGAUAGAAUCACCCUUCAAAAUAUGGAGAAGAAGCCGAGUGAAAGCUUCAGGCAAUAUGCACAAAGAUGGAGGGAAGUCGCAGUCCAAGUCCAGCCACCGCUUUUAGAGAAAGAAAUGACCAUACUAUUUAUUAACACACUGAAAGCCCCAUUCAUUACGCAUAUGUUAGGAAAUGAUACAAAAAGCUUUUCUGACAUAAUUAUGAAUGGUAAAAUGAUCGAAAAUGCGAUAAGAAGUGGGAAAAUUGAUAUAGAGGAGAGUAACAAGAGGUCAGUCUCAAAAAGAAGAGAAAAUGAGGUGAACAACACGGGUUACUCUAAAUCAGUUACUGUUCAGCCAAGAAAGAUGGUUGGUAAUCAACAAAAUUCAUCGAGGCAAGAUUCCGGCAUAAAGACUGAAAAGUUCCAGUUUACACCAAUCCCAGUACCGUAUAAGGAACUGUAUCAAAAUUUGUUUGAUGCACAUGUUGUUUCCCCUUUUCAUGUGAAGCCUCUACAACCUCCGUAUCCCGAAUGGUAUGAUGCGAACACACAAUGUGACUACCACGCGGGAAUUACGGGACACUCGAUUGAGAAUUGCACUGCAUUCAAGAAGCAAGUUGAAAGACUUAUCAACAUGGGUAUUGUCAAGUUUGGUGACUCGUCUAGCGCAGGAAAUCCGCUACCCAAUCAUGAUUGAGGAUGGAGGGACUGCAAUGUAUGAAGAAGUGGUGAGAAAUUUGCACAUCGAUGCCAUAUAUGCAGACACAAUUUAAAGGGUCCUUGUUAGAUAUUUGCCUUAGAGGUGUUCUAAAUAAUGAGACUACAGAGGAAACCCCUGAAGUAUUUAAAGUCUGUUAGAGUAAUGUUCAGAACACACUUGUUGCUUUCAGCCUAGAAGCAAUAAGGAUUUCUUUGUGAAAUAGGCUCACGUCUGAACAUUAUUAUUUUAAUGAAAUAAAUUAUUGCAAUCAUCUUUGAGCAAAUGUUCUUUCAUUCUUUACGUUUUUUCAUUUUUUGGAUUUUUUUCUGCCAAACCAUUCAUUCAUAUUAUUCAUACAUUCUUUUGUAUAUUCUCAGAUACCUACUAUGGGUCCCCAGAUAUCAAUGUCAUGAGUGACGCUGCUACAGACUCAAAAUUUCCUUUUGAGUGAGACAUGUGUUUAGAGGGAUCUCAUGACUUUGAAGAUGACAUAGAUUGUAGCUUAUCUUCAGACUUGAGGAGGGUGAUAGAAUAAGAGGAUAGACAGAUCCUACAUCACAAUGAAUUAUCAGAAAUUGUGAGCUUGGUGAAGAUUGGAAUUGACAUGAUUACAAAGACGAGGCGGGACCUUAUAGAGCUACCCCAGGAAUUCAAUGAUGUCUUCACAUGGUCAUACCCAGAUAUGCUCGGGUUAAGCACUAGCUUGUAAUCUGAAUAACAGCAUGAUGUUAGAAAUGGGCAGUAGGUUCAACAUCGAUGCUAUGAACGAUGCGGUAAACUUUCUUUGCUAGGGCAAUAUCCUCCUCUUUGGCUUAUCAUAGCUUUACUCAUUGAAGUCGAAUUAUCAUUUCUCUACAUUUUAUCCUAAGAGGAAGACCCGAAGGUUCGCCCCAAAGAAUUUCACAAGAGGGAACUAGUGUUGAAAAAUAUCCUUCCUAUACAAAAGGAUUUUAGAGGAAGAUAGAGGCCAAAUUAGAAGGGUCCAUAUGUUAUAAAGAAAGCCUUUUCUGGAGAAGCUUUGAUCUUGAGUGAGAUGGAUGGUAAAAAUUUACAAAGUCCUGUAAACUCAGAUUCAGUCAGGAAAUACUCUGCUUAAAAAAGGUGGGACCAAGGUGAAAGCCUACAAAGGACGCUUUGAGUCAAAAAAAAAGAGACCAGGGUGAAACCCUACAAAGGGAGCCUUGAGUAAAAAAAAAUGGAGAGGCUAAGGUGAAAACUCGCAAAGGGCGCCUUAGACCAAAGGGGAUUUGAGUUGAAAACCCGAAAAGGACGGCUCAAAUAUUGAUCAGAAUAGGGCAUAAAGUAAUCAGAGCAGCUCAAAUACCGAUCAAAGCGGGGCAUGCAGUGGUCUUGCUAUACCUGAAUCAACAGGAAAGGGUAGGCGACAUUUUGGGGGCAUCGACAAAGUACUGUAGAUCUCCUAAACACAUGUUAAAGUCAGAAUGGUCUUCAGAAAGUCUGUACAGAUAAGUUCAGGCUGCGAUAUCUGGGGCACCUAAUCCUUAUACUAUUUUUGUUAUUCUUGGAAUACUUCAUUCAUUUCCAAGAUAUGCAUUCCUAAAUCAACUUCCUUGUUAUCCAUCUUUAUUAUCCUUGAUAAUUUAUUCAUUUCGAGCUAUGCUCAGAGCCAACUCUAUUCUUAUCCAUGAUCUUUUUGCAAGCAUGUUGCAUUAGAAUAAUGGUUAAUAGACUAAUAAAACUUUCACAAGGGAAGUUUUGCAUAUUACUCUAGAAGUUUCUAAAUAAUACAGGAACCUGAAACAGGACUAUUGUUUAGAACGCACCAGGUUGGAAAUCUAAUAGGGAAAAGUCUAAAUUCAGACUAUCCCUUUAAAUUUUGUUGCCUAAAACAUCGAUUGGACAAAAUGGCAAUGUGUUAUGUUGGUGACAAUGCUUCAAUGAACAAGCAGGCAAUGAUCAUCGAAUAAUAAGAAGAAGUUGUUCUUUGAGAGGAACAUUCUUCAUUUGUGCAUGAGAAUUUGGUAUGACAUACUGGGAAUGGUGUAAGGGACCAAAGAGUUUCAUAUCCUGUAUCCUUGAAUUGUGAUAGUAGAGGAUUGAGAAAAGACCAAAUCUUUUUACUCUUGGGUGACAACGGGAGAAAGAUGGUAUAAAUUUUGCAUCCCAAUAGAUCAAACUUGAAGGUUUAAGUGGGGGGCAAUCUGGUCAAGUGUUUCUUUCGAUACGCCAGCUGAGCAAGAGGGUGCUAUAGCACAUUAGCGAUGAAACUUUAAAUAAACUGUGAGUAAUGAUAACCUAAGUGAAAAUGAGGGAUCAUACUCGAAAAAAUGACAUUCUGCAUUCAUUCAAAUGUCAUUCAUACACGCCUAGUUAGGAGCAUUUGAUUCAUUUGAUCAUGACAUCCUAAUCAUUAGGCAUAGUUAGGUUCAUAAAGUGAAUUAUACAGGUCAUGUUCCCUAGAGAACAGAUCGGUGAAAUCAUAAAGCCUUAUCUCCCUGAACAACAGUUGAGCAGGUUGAGAAGCAGCAGGUCUUAUCUUCCUAUAUUGGUAGCGAAGUAGAUCAAAUAUACAGAUCUCACCUUUCCAUACUGGUGGCGAAGCAGAUCGAAGGAAAAAGCAGAUCUUGUCUUCAUGUACUGGCGUGAAGUAGAUCAAAUAUACAGAUCUCGCCUUCCCAUACUGGUGGCGAAGUAGAUCGAAGGAAAAAGCAAAUCUUGUCUUCAUGUACUGGCGUGAAGUAGAUCAAAGAUACAGAUCUCGCCUUCCCAUACUGGUGGCGAAGCAGAUCGAAGGAAAAAGCAGAUCUUGUCUUCAUGUACUGGCGUGAAGUAGAUCAAAGAUAACAAAUCUCGCCUUCCCAUACUGGUGGCGAAGCAGAUCGAAAGAAAUUAGAUAUGGUCUUCAUGUAUCAGCGUGAAGUAGAUCAAAGUCAACAGAUCUUGUCUCCCCAUACUGGUGGUGGAGUAGAUCAAAGAAAUCAGAUAUUACCUUCAUGUAUCGGCGUGAAGUAGAUCAAAGUCAACAGAUCUUGUCUCCCCAUACUGGUGGUGGAGUAGAUCAAAGAAAGCAGAUCUUACAUUCAUGUAUCGGCGUGAAGUAGAUCAAAGGAACAUAUCUUGUCUCCCCAUACUGGUGGUGGAGUAGGUCGAAGAAAACAGAUCGUGUCUUCAUGUACUGGCGUGAAGUAGAUCAAAGAUAGUAGGUCCUGUCUUCCUAUAUUGGUAGCGAAGUGGAUCGAAUAUACAUAUUUUAUCUUCCCAUCCCGGCGGUGAAAUAGAUUGAAGAUUACAGAUUUUGCCUCCCUAAGCAGUAGUGGAGCAGAUCGAAGAUGGCGGAUUUUACCUCCCUGAAGUUGCAGUAGAGUAUACUGAAGCCAGUAAUUCUACUUCCCCGGUCGGCAGUGGAAUCGAUUGAAAAAGCAGAUCUUAUCUUCAUGUAUUGGCGUGAAGUAGAUCGAAGAAAGUAGAUCUUGUCUUCCCAUACUGGUGGUGAAGUAGAUCGAAUAUACAAGUAUUAUCUCCCUGAAGUUGCAGUGGAGCAGACUGAAGUAACCAAUCCAAUCUCCUUGAAGUUGCAACGGAGCGGGUUAAAACCGCAGAUCUCAUCUCUCUGAAGUUGCAGUAGAGCAGAUUGCGUCAAGAUUUACCCUUAAGUUGUAACAGAACAAGUUGAAGCUAUAAGUCUUAUCUCCCUGAAGUUGCAGUGGAGCAGAUUAAAGAUAGCAGAUUUUGUUCUUUUGAGAAGCUACAACAUAUGAAUCCUAUCUCCCCGACAUUCCAGUGGGGUAGAUUGGAGCACCAGUUCCUAUACCUUUGAAGAUGCAGUAGGAAGGAACAAGACUACUUGAAGAAAAAGGAGCACCAAGGUCUAGCACGACCGGGCAAAAUUGGCCAUUUUAAAGUCUUUGCUCCGUUCCCGUUACACGGUAACAAGCAAAGAGGGGCAGCUGUAAUAGCCCUUUUGCCCGGGCUUUUAAAAUAAUAAAAACAAACAAAAAUAACCCAAGCCCGCACAAAACAGGACAUGGCCCAAUACAGCAAAACUACUAGCCUAAGCCCAAUUACCCAAACCCCAAAACACCGAAACCCUAGAUGCAUUCGCCUCAGCGCCGCAACAGCCCCUACGACGCGCUCCAGCAGAUCUGAUUGGCGCACGUUGCGGAACCACCCCUUUUCCUCGCGUCGUACACUCCACGAACUCCUGCAAUCGCGGACUCAAAGAAUCCAGAAGAGAAAAACAAGCAAAAAAUAAUGUCAUCGAUUUAUUUUCUUUUUUUUCUUCAGCCUAUAAAAGGCCAUUUAAUAUGUAAAAGAAAGGGGGGAUACUGAAAAAAAGGAGUGUAAAAGACACGAAAAGAAAGAGAUACAAAUAGAAAAGAGAAAACAAAGGUGAAUCGGGGGUUCUUCUCUGCUAUCUGUUUUAUUUCAUUUUUUUGCUUUUAUACAAAUAUAAAUCAAAAGAGAAAAAAGGGGUUUUUUUUUACCUUUGAAGCUUCCCCGUUGAAACCUACACUCGCAUCGCUCCAAAUCGGGAGCCUGACGAAGGACUGAGACCCGAAGCGCCUUCGAACGCCGGAGGUUGGUUCGUUUGAGAACGGCGGCAGUGGGGGCUGGGAUUAAAAACCCUAGCAGAAAA